rnacentral:tRNA from 21 species
GGGCCCAUAGCUCAGUCGGUAGAGCAACUGACUUUUAAUCAGUAGGUCGCUGGUUCGAAUCCAGCUGGGCUCACCA